rnacentral:lncRNA from 9 species
CGGUGUCUUCUGAGAGCCCUAGAAGACAGAUCCCCAGGACACAGUCCUGACUCCUGCCUUUGCCCCACCCCCCACCCCCCACUGCCAGUUAGUAAAAUAUGUGCCUGCGAUGAGCAAAUCCUUCAGAGAGGAACUGUCUAUUUCAAGCGAUUUUUGUCUCUGCAAAGGAGCCCAGAUUCUAGAAACUUUUGUGAGUUCCAGGAGAAAAGGGACGAUGAAUUAGAGGCACCAGCAAGGAAGGUCACUUGCAAGUUACCAAGACAAGAUCCUGAAGAGUGGCAUCUGACCCAGAGAGUUGGAGUACUGCUAACCAGACUCUCUCAGCACCCUGUGUAAGUCAGGAUACUCAUUAUAAAAAAGACGAGGCCAAGCACAUAAGCAGAACACGAGGGCCCCCUAUCCUGGGUCCUUCGCCCCCUCCAUCAAAUGUCAGGAAAGCUUAAUUGGUCAUUAGGAGGCUGACUAAAACUUUCAGCAGAAGGAAAAUAGCCUUGUGGACUAUUUAAUAUGGGUUACAGUGAGAACUAGUUACACCCCCUUGCUCCCUAGCAGGAAUGGAGACCCUACUGACCAGAUACUCCGGCCCCUAAAUUCAGUGUCUCUCUAUUGUAUAUUGUCAUCAACAGUGAAAAUACCUGCUUCUCUUUUUACCCAUUUUUCUAAGCUCACAAGACUUAGUUUUUCCCUUCUGUGACUCAUUAAUUUUAUCCUUUUAUUCAAGAAAUAUUUGUUGAACAUGAUUUACCAUGUGCCAAGUUCUAGGAAUGUAAAAGUGAACAAUACCCUGGAUACUUCCACACCACUGGCUUUACCACAAACAAGUUUCGAUAAAAAUCUAAAAACCCUUCUUUCUUUUUAAGGUGACUUUGGUAUAUUUAAUCUGAUCCAUUUAGGCCUUAAUACCAGAAUUCUGUGUAGCACUAUUACCUGACUUUCCUGAAUAGCUUAUUGCUUCAGCAGUAUCUUAACUUCCCAGAAGGCCUAGAAUAACUGAGUAUUUCUCACAUAUCCCUUAUAGUGUGUAGGGUAUGCCGUGCACACAGCAGGAAUGAAAUAUUUGCCUCUUUAAAGAGAUACCAUGUUUCCUACUAGCCAUAAGGGAAGAAGGGAGGCAGUUUUACUUAGUUUUACUUCAGAAAUUCCCCAACCAAUGGACCACAUAGUAAACCCAGCCAGCAGACAUGUUUUAUUUGGUCUACUCACUGCUGUUUUUUUUUUUAAUUGAGCCAACGUUUGAAAAAUUGAGAUCUUUCAUACACACACACACACACACACACACACACACACACACACCCUAGAAUUCCAAGCGCCUUUGGAUAUUCAGCUUCCUUUGAAAAAUUGGAAGACCUGCAACUCUUGGCUUCAUACCCACUGAGCAAAAGCGCUGGCCUGAAAGUACAUAGAACAUUCAGAUCAGCCGUCCCACUAGGCCGCAGUCCCUGUCACUCUGUGUUUCAUCACACUUGGCCUGUCUCACUUGCAUAACAGCCGAAUCCUGAGGCCUUUGAAUCCGUGACCUCUGUUUUACAUGAAGCUGGAAUAUUGGGAAAGGGGAGAGGAAAUAGCCCCCUCUAC